AACACAUUUCUCUGUCCUCACUACAGUCACUGCUGAGCAGUGGGUCUUCUGGUCUGGUUCAUGGGGAAGACAUAAGGCAGCCGGAUGGUCAUAGGUCUGUUCUGGCAGAGGGGCAAGGACUCGGGGCUUAGUUCUCUCUGGCCUGUGCCAUCUGUGGAUACGAGCUCCCCAUAAGUGAGCUUCAGGAGGCCAGUCCCCAGGCAGGUGGGAGAAGCCCAAGGAGGCCGUCUAACCUCUGAGAAGGGCCACAGGGAUCACCUGGAUGUGUGAGCCCUACCAGGCAGGCACAGCAGUCCUCGGGGAGACUGGGAGACUGGAAGAAGGCUGGGCUCUUGACUCUAGGUUCUUUGGGCCCAUGGGAAUUUCUGUGUAGAUUUACUCCAUUCAUUAUUCAGUCAGUUUACCGAUGCCAACCCCAGGCUGGGCGCUAGGGACACACUUGUCUUCAAGGAGAUACUAUCCCAGGAGGGAGGUGAGCUCAGAGUGGGUAGUGGUCAGGGCCUCCGGAUGAAGCCAGGUCAACCUCUCUGGAAGUUCAGAAGGGGAAGAAGUCAUCCAACCUGGGGGCAUCAGGGAAGGCUUCCUGUGGAAGGUGAUAUUUAGGCUGAGCCUUGAAAACAUGACUGUGAAGAGAUAGGAUGGGAUAAAAAGGGCAUUCGGUAUCUAAGGAACAGCAAAGGCCUGGUCAUGGGAACUCAGCUUGGGAGGUGUUGGUCAGAGGCAGGCAGAGGGGUCUGGACUCACUGUAGCUAUCCCCUGAGCCAGGGAGCCACCUCUGUCCCUCACAUGCAUGUGCACAUGUAGGGGUCACGUUCCAGCUUGCUGGGGACAAGAGGAGAGCUCCUGCCCUGGCUCUCCUGAUUAAUCUAUAAUUAAAUCAGCACAGACACCACAGAACUGUGCUGUCAUUAGAGAGUUCGUAAGGGCAAACAGUGAUUUCUCCACUAACCAAGAGCCCUGCCAGGGGGCUGCAGCUCUGGUCAUGCACGGACAGCCAUCAGGGGCAAGAUGCAAGCACAGGAGGCCAGAGCUUCAGGCAGGAAUAAGAAAACCAGCAGCUCACACUUUGGCCAUUUAUACAGUGUUCCCAUCACUGCCUUGGUUAAGCCUGACAAUGACACGAUGGCCAUGGGUGGGACUUGGGGGGACUAUUAUUUAUUUGCUCCCAUUUUACAGAUACAGAAACUGAGGUGCAGAAAGCAUAAGGGUGAAACAGCCUGGUUGGUUUCAGAAUUGCCAGAUGUGCCUCUUGCCAGCUGUGUGGUCUCAAGCAGAUUGCUUACCCUCUCUGUCCCUCAGUUUCUUGGUCUGUGUAAUGAGGCCAAAACGCUGUCACUUCAAAAUAUUGGUUGUAAGGACUGAAUGAAGCAAUCCAUGCAAAGAAUUUAGCAGCGUUUGAUGCUUAUCAAAUGCUACUACUUAUGAUCAUGCUUUGUUAUAAUUGCUUGUUUCUUGUCCACCUUUCCCACGAGAAUGCAGGCUCCAUGAGGAUAGGGACUGUGUCCAUCUUGUUCAUUGCUGUGAGUCCAGCAAUUGUCGCUUGGUAGUGUUCAGUAAGUUGUUAGUAUCCGAGGCAGCAUUUAUGUGAUAAGCCCACAAAAUGCUAAAGAAAUAUGAGGUACCAUUUUCUCCAUGUUCUGCCUGUCUCUAAAAAGGAUUCAAGGGACAAGUACAGAUCUGCCUUGACUCACGAUGGAGUUAAUGUCCUGAUAAGUGGAAAAUACAGUAAGUCGAAAAUUUAAUACACCUAACCUACCAAACAUCUGAGCUCAGCCCAGCCUAUCUUCAGUGUGCUCGUAACACUUACAUUAGCCUGCCCUGGGCAAAGUCAUCUCCCACGAGUCACGUUUUAUAACAAAGUACUGAAUAUCUCACUUUAGGAGUUGACUGAAUACUGUACUGGAAGGGACAAACAGAAGGGCUGUUUGGGUGCAGAGCGGUUGCCAAGUGUAUCAGCUGUUUACUCCCGUACCCUAGGAGCCCUGCUCGCUGCCGCUGCCGCUGCCCCAGCACCACGGGAAAGCAUCCUCCUGUGCGUGCCUAGCCCUGGAAAAGAUCAAAAUGCAAAUUGGGAGGUGUGGUUUCUACUGAAUGUGUAUCGUUUUCACACCAUUGUAAAGUCAAAAACUCUAAGUCAAACCAUGGGAAGUUGGGGGCCACCUAUACCAUCAUCAUUAUUAUUGUUGCUGCUGUUGCUGUUGUCUUUGUUAUGAUCACUGUUGUGUCCCAAGUCUGCUAUUCAGAGCUGGUCCUUCCUGAAAUGGGUUCAGGAAAAGUCUAGAAAUAAGCAGGAAGCCUCAAUUCACCUGCUAAGAGGUAAGGAGCAGACUGGAGGUGACCGGCUUCCGAAGGGAUGUCUGGGCAGAGGUGCAGAAAACUUUGGGGGCCCUGGAAGAGUCCCUUCCUCUUGUCAUCUAGGGUCUUCGGACCUGCAGAGAGGUCAGAGGGGCUGGAGUCUGCAGCCCACUGGACACAGAAGGGAUCAGAGGGAAUCUGCCUGUGGCAGUUCAGAGGAUCGUUACUGUCUCUGUGCUGCAGUUUCCAGCCUCUCCACUGGGAUCUGAGGUUUGUCACACAAAUAACUUAAAGUCCUAGAUUCUCCAAAUGAUUUACUUUAAAUAUGAUCAAUUUGAGUGGAUUCAGAGUUAUCCCUGUAAUGGUGUCACCCGCACUCACUUGCAUUCUUGAGUGGCAGGUAAAGGGACAGACUUAACCCAGAACUCCUAGAACUAAGAGCCUCUCACCUUCACCUCCAGCCGUGAGUGACUGCUGUAUGUUAAGUCACUCCCCUGUGACACAAAUGCUCACGUGAAUACUGUGCUGUGUUCCCAGAGGUGUCUGCUCAUGGUCUCUCUGUUCUCUGCUGAGGGAGCACACUCAACCAAAAGUUCUGGGGGGGGGGAGCUUAAUACCCCAGGAGCCACUCUUGACCAAGGGGAUGAGGGGGUGUGGAGAAAGACUUCCUCGCCCCUCAGUGCAACGAUCGCCCACGACAAUAACUUGAGUAUCAGCACCCAUCUUGGCUUCCCUCCCUUUCCUGACUCAUUCCCUGCAUCCCAACUAAACUACUGCACCCUGAUCCUCAUCCAGGAUUUGCAUUUGGGGCACCUAGCCUAACACACCCUCCAGAAUUGUGCAGCUUUUCUGACCUACAAAAAUUGUUGAGAGGUGUCUAAGGCCUGCAUACAGCCUUGGGAGUGCAUCUACUGUGUGGGCUGUGAUGACCAAAAUACAGAGGGCUGAGGCUCUAGGUAGGGAAGCACUGGUCAGCAGACGGUUCUGGUAAGUAGAGGCUGAUGGUAGAUGGAAACCAGGUGGCAGAGACCUCUGCCUUGUGGCAGCUUCACCUCAACCCUCGUCAGGAACCCGAUGCAAAUCCUGACCUGAGGACUCUGCUGAACCAAGGGGGCACUUAUUUGUUUUAGUAGUCACUGACUAAGCACCUGCUGUAUGCUGAGGAGGCAAAAGGAUAAAGAAAGGUGAAUAAGAGUGGGUGUCCUUGCCCUUGCCCUAAGGGGGUCAGUGUCUAUUGGGAAAGAGAAAUGUGUCAACGUGUGGGUAGAGGUUAGAGAUGAGCCGAGAAAUUCAUCCAUUCAUUUAGGAUAUAUUUAUUGAGCACUUUGGGUAUACAAGCCUCUGUGUUACGCCUGGUGGAUGAAAGAGAGCCACACUCCCCUCAGAAAUGAGGAAAGGCAACUGGCAUUUAUUGGGCUCCUGCUGUGUGCCAGGCACUGAGUAGGGCGCUCCCGUAGUUCAGCUCAUCUCCUCUCAUAACAAACCCGGGAGGUGGCAGCUGUUCUUAUCCCCACUACACAGACAAUGCCCAGAAAGGUGAUGUAAUUUACCGGACCACACGGCUGGCAAGUGGCAGAGCUGGGGUUCAGCCUAGGUCUGUCAGAUUCCCAGACCCCAAUACUAUUUUUUCCCCUUAAAUCAGACCAAGGUCUGUGGUUUUUGUCUUAAAUACCCACUGAGUGAACCAGUUUUUAAAAGAACAAAACCUGGAAGCAAACCAGGCCAGGCUCAGAUGGAGCCAGAACAAGCUUUUGCUGGGGUCAAGCUCCUGCGCCGAGGCCCUGCCUCAUCAGCAGGGGCCCCAGCCUGGUCUUGACCCCUGUCUGCAGGGAAUCCGGGACACCUGGAAGCUGACCUCAUUCCACCCUGAAGAGUCGGGGGAGGAGAGCUUGGUAGAGGCCUGCUCCCUGUGCCCACAGGCCUCGGAGGCAGCUGACACAGGAUUCAGUUGCAGCCAGGGGCUCAGGUGCCGCCCCCCGCCCCCACCUUCCCUAGGAAUGUCAAGGCAGGGCCUGGCUGGUGCAGGGAGGGGGAGGAUGUUCAGGUUACUAUUACUGCAAAACAAACCACCCCAGAACUUAGUGGCACUAACCAUUUUAUUUUGCUCACAGUCUGUAGGUCAAGAAUAUAAACAGGGCACAGUGGGUAUGCCAGCUUUGUGAUGUCUAGGGUCUUCACCUCCGUAACUAGAGGUGACUCAACAGCCGGCGGCUGGAAUCAUCUGGAGUGUCUUCACUCACAUGUCUGGCAGUUGAUGCUGGCUAUCAGCUGGGACCUCAGUGGGGCUCUCAGCCAGAACAACUACACGUGGCUUUUCUGUGCCCUCUCUCCCUGCACUAGAUUGGGCUUCCUCACAGCAUGGUGGCUGGGUUCUGAGAGCAAGCAUCCCAGGAGGGCCAGGUGGAUGUUGUGUCACCCUUUAUGACCUACCCUUGGAAAUUAGCCUUGCCUCACUUCUGCAAUAGUCCCAAGCCCACCCAGGUUCAAGGGGAAGGAACACAGACCUCACCUCUCGAUGGGAAAGCAUGGGGAAUUGCAGACCCUGUUGUGGCCAUCUUUGCCACAUAAUCUGCUCUAUGUAUAAUCUGCUCCUGAAAGGAGUAGAUGGGUUUGGCUGUCUAAACUAGUAGACCAUUGGGUGAGAGGCUGUGCUAAGUGGAGGCAAAGGCAGCAUUGUGAAUGCAGGAUGGGGGGUCGUAGUCUGAGGGGGUCAGAGAACAAAGAGCUUAGAUUGAGGUUGACCUUUGAGGUCCAGGCACCAAGGCUGGAGAUAACAAGGCAGGGCUCAAUCUGGCACAAAAGAACAGGUAUUAUUUUAUUUGUUUGUCUACUACCCUUCCAUCAGUCCAGCCACCUUACACAUCCAUCCAUCCAUCCAUCCAUCCACCUCUAUAUCUCAUUCACUUUCACUAUGACUCAAUUUCCUCACCUGUAAAAUUGGGGUGAUAGUAUAAACUUCAUAGGGUUGUUUGAAGAUUCAAUGGAUCAAUAAACAUAAAGUGUCUAGGGGAGUGCCCAGCACAUAUUAAGUGCACGAUAAAUAUCACCUAUUAUGAUUAGCAUUAGUGCUAUUGUUAUUGUUAUUCAGCCAUGCACUCACAAAUUGACCCCCCUACCCCCUCUUUCAUCUGUCUGUCCUUUCAUUUAUUCAGCUGUGUAGGUGAAUUAUGUGCACAUUUAUCUUACAUGAAUUCAACCAUAUUCUGAGCAAGAUAGAGGGAGAGAAAACUAAUUUUAAAAGCACAGUUGACUCUACCUGCCAUUCCAGGCAGUGGGUGUGUGUCCCUCAGGGAGUGUGAGCUGAGCCAUGUGACUUUCCAAAUCAUUCUAUAGGAACAUGUUACUAAAUAGGUUGGUGAAUGCAAAACCACGAAUGCUGCAUUUCAGGGACAAUUUAUUGGAUCUCGUGGGGCAAUUGUUUUUUGAGGGAGAGAAUGAGAGCAGGGGGCUGGGGGUAUAGGGGCAGCGAGAGGGAGACGUUGAAUCCCAAUCAGGCUCUGUGCUGUCAGCAUAGAGCCAGACUCUGAGUUCGAACUCACGAAUCAUAGGUCAGGUUUAACUAUGCAUGUUUCACCUUUCAUGCUCACUUUCCUACCUUCUGCAUGGGAUGGGAUCCACCCCACUAUGAGGCCCUGGCAGAUUCCUGGUGACACAGAUAUGAUCACUCUGGCCCCUACAUGAAGAAUGGACAGGAAAGGAAGAGUCUAGAAGCACGGAGACGAGUGGGAAGGCUGAGUGCCACUCAGCUUCCAGUGAUUUCUAGAAGGUGUGGCUGCCAAGGAAAAGUCUUUAUAGAAAAUAGCCCUGGAGAGAGUGAACACCUUUCCCCACGAGAUGUGGAAACUGAGGCCCCGUGAGGUUGGGUGGCUUUCCCAGUCACAGCCAGUGUGUAACAGAGCCAAGAUCUGAACCCACGCCUGCUCACUCUGGAGCCCACACUCCUUCCACACUGUGAAGGAAUACAUGAACACUCAAAAAAUUUGGAAAACACAGGAAAGAAGGAAGAGGGAAAAGUCCUACAUAGCUCCCUCUCCCCAACCUUGGGAUAUAUCUCAUUAACAGCCUGGGAAUCUCCUACUUCUUUUGGCUGAGCCUGUGGGUACAAGCGAGUGACUGACCUGGCCAAGGUCAUACAGAUCAGCACAGUCAGGAUUUGAAUUCAGACUGUUGGACGCCAGAAUUUGAGGUGAACUCAAUGUGGCUCAGGCCUCAGGGAGCCAUUUCCAGUCUUAUGGGAGAAAUGGAAGCAAACAGGUGUGGCUUAGUUUGGCCUCCCCCAGAAGCAGACCUCGAGACAGUGAGGAGCACAGGGGGUUUCUUUGGGAGGUGAUCCCAGUAAGUAGGAGGCAGAGCAGGUGGAGAGUGAGACGGGGCAGGAGGGAAUGUCAAUAAAAUGUGCAUUAGUGAGCGGCUACUAGAACUCAUCCUGCUGGGGACCUUCUGAGAAAUGGUGGAGAGGACACUUCAGAACCCUCUCCCUGAAGGAGGCUGGGCAUUCACCUAUUGGUUCCCGACCACCAUGACCGAAGGUUGCUCCUGGGGGCAUUCACUCUUCUGCCUUUCCAAGUUGUCCUGUGCUUGGGCAGAGCAAACUCUUGUGGCUUCAGAAAAUGCCAUCGUCAGGCAGAAAAGUGGAGGGACCGGUGUCUGGGAGCUGACCGGUGUCCAUGGCUGAAGCUGGAGUCCCAGGUGGACACCAACAACAGUUGCUAUGAGGUGUUUGAGACAUAGAGUGUUUUGGUCACCAUAAAGCACUUGGGGAGUCUAGAGUUAACAAACUGUAUUGCAUACUUGAAAUUUGCGAAGAGAGUAAACCUUCAGUGUUCUCACUACAAGAAAAAAAGGGAACUAUGUGGGGGUGAUGGACAUGUUAAUAAACUUGAUUGCGGUGAUCAUUCCACAACGUAUACAUAUAUCAAAACACCAGGAUGUACCCUGUACAUGUAUAUAAUUUUUGUUUGUCGAUUAUACCUUAAUAAAGCUGAUGGAAAAAAUAAA